CCGAGCUACUACACCUACGUCCCGAAGUAUUACUGUGCGUAAGAGGAGUCUAGAAAAAAGAAGUUGUGCCCGAACUGCAGUGCCCUAUCUGUCACCAACUGCAUUCCUCAUCUUGUAAACUAUUCGCCAUUAUGGACAUCUAUGGCGUCGUGCUCCUAUUGUGUCUAUUGUUCGUUGAUUGGUGGGUCGACCGCUGGUGUAGCGAUGCCUCCUUGGUAAGGCGGAAACCAAACUGCAACGCCGCCGCCUUCCUACACAACUUACGCAACGACCAGUUCCUGCACCGAGGUCUACAAGUACUACACUACUAAGGCACCGGAGUUUUAUACCACAACUUACGCUGCCCCGAGCCACUACACUGAAGCCCUGAAGUAUUAUUCUACCCUAAGUUACUACACCAUCUAGGCGAUGGACAUGACUACGUAUGCUGCCCCAUCCUACUACACCGAGGCUCCCAAGUGCUACACCGAGGCUCCCGCUGAUUACUCCACCGAAGCGGCAAAGUACUUCUCUGCCCUGAUCUACACAACCACAACUGAGGCGGCUAAGUAUUAAGCAGUCCCGAGUUGCUACCCAAAAGCUGCCCUUUCGUGCUACGUUGAACAGAAAAAAUACU